rnacentral:rRNA from 1 species
AAAGGAAUAGACGGGGGCCCGCACAAGCAGCGGAGCAUGUGGUUUAAUUCGAAGCAACGCGAAGAACCUUACCAGGUCUUGACAUCCAGUUAAAGCAGUAGAGAUAUUGUGUGCCUUCGGGCGAACUGAGACAGGUGGUGCAUGGUUGUCGUCAGCUCGUGUCGUGAGAUGUUGGGUUAAGUCCCGCAACGAGCGCAACCCUUGCCGAUAGUUACUAACGGUUUAAGCCGAGGACUUUAUCGGGACCGCCGGGGACAACUCGGAGGAAGGUGGGGACGACGUCAAAUCAUCAUGCCCCUUAUGACCUGGGCUACACACGUGCUACAAUGGCCGAGACAGAGAGCAGCAAGGGCGCGAGCCGGAGCAAAUCUCAAAAAUGCGGUCACAGUUCGGAUUGUGGGCUGCAACCCGCCCACAUGAAGCAGGAGUUGCUAGUAAUCGCGAAUCAGCAUGUCGCGGUGAAUACGUUCCCGGGCCUUGUACACACCGCCCGU